rnacentral:lncRNA from 1 species
AGUCGGGCGGGCGGCCGGGCCGCUCCGCGGUCGGGGUGCGCGCUCGAGGCCCGCGGGCGUUUCCUUCAGGGCGGGGGCGCCCUCUGCCCCUCCGCGUCCUGUGCCAGUUGCCGGUACUAGCUGCACAGUCCGUUGCGGACGUCAUAGAUGGCUGUUUACUGCCUCUUUGAGUGCUGCUGAGUAAAUAGUCACUAGACAGUCCUGGUGGAGGAGGGAGUGUCCCGGCCUUAUAAAAAGGUCGUAAAUGUCCGCGUUCCCACACCACUUCCGUGAGGCCGAUGGUCACCAGGGAUCAUGAGGGCGUGGUUGGGAUGUUCCCGGCUUGACUUGCAUCUCAGCACCGGUUUCACUGCCCCUCCCCAGAUGUGCGGUGCUGGGGGUUGCUGACAGCCUAGGCAGCGUACGCAGGGCAGGACCGUACCCAGGAAGGCUAACAGCGCAAAGCCGCCUCUCCUCCCGCUGCAGACGUCAGCUCUCCCGCAGCGCGGAGCAGCACAAGAGUGCUUGCUGCGUCUGGAGCAGAGGAGCCUCGCCACCCUUCUCAAAGCACCCGAAGGCUCUCUGUUCCGAGGAAGGGGCUCGGCCCAGGGUGAUGACCGCACAGACCACGGACACUACCUGCCCCUGUCGGGAGAGGAGCGGGAGCUGGGACACAGGUACAUGAGGAGGAAGGCAGGGAACAUCAGCGCCUGCACCUCAGGCACUUGGAGAAGGGAACGUGGUCAUUCCAGCUUGGCGACACAUGCUCGGGAUGAAGAGCCCGGGCACUGGCUCGGGCACUGGAGAGACAGUGGCCAGGACUGGAGGACCAGACGCUUCUGCUGGACACUCCACUCUACCCUGGCCUCAGCAUCCUCCAUGUCCUCAGCUCCAGUGGACCCUCCAUCCCACCUAAACCGCAGCUCAGCUCCGUAACACCUCUGCUGUGUGCUCAGCCCGCCAUAGCUGACCCCUCAAAGCCUCCUUGUUGCUAUUUAUUUAUUUAUUUAUGUU